AGUACAGAUUUGGACAGAAAAAUGAAAAACACGAGUGCCUCACGCAUCCCUUUGCUCGAAUCUCUUCUCCACAUUCUGAUCCCUCAUUUCAGCGAUCUCCGCGACGAACAUUUCCAAACCCUACAGUUGACCUCUUCAAUUCCCUCGUAGAUUCUCCAGAUCCCUCCCUCAGUUCCAUUUCGAAAUUAAUCUCUUCCGAUUUACAGAUUCAGAGUAGUAGCCCUAAUUACGACGGACCAAUCAGAUUCGGUCCUUGUUCAAUUCUGAAAUUGAGAAACCCUAGCUUCAUCUCCAUCUCGGAUUUCGAUCAGCAUCAGAUAUCUAGAUUCUCUUCAACCUCUAAGAAAGAGAACGGGCAGAAACCGUCUGAUUUCAAGCACCAAGACAUUGAAGGGCCGACCGUGGAGAGAGACUUAUCGGCACUGGCUAAUGAAAACAGAGAGGUGGUUGAAGGGCUUCACCGAUUACUGAAGUUGCGAUUCAGAGUUUUGUGGCAUUUGGGUUUCCUUUCUCAUUGCAUUCAUUAUGCGGCGAUCUCUAAAGCCGAUGAUUUUUUCAAGAAAAUGGAGGAACAAGGUAGGUUACAGAUUCUAACGCUGAGUCUUUAGAUUGGCCAAAUGCUUGGAAACGGGUGAAAAUAUGGCUAUAAAGAAGGUUUUGCAGGACAUAAGAUAUAAGAAGCGUGAGCUCCAAAAGCAUUGUUUCUUUUCCACUACUACAAAAGACAAACUAUUUCUCAACUUGGUAAUGGAAUAUGUCCCUGAAACCAUGUUUCGGUUUUGAAGCAUUACAGUAAUGCAAAUCAAAGAAUGCCAAUCAUCUAUGUCAAAUUAUACAUGUACCAGGUUUUUAGGGGCCUGGCCCAUAUCCACACGGUUCCUGGAGUUUGUCACCGAGAUUUGAAGCCUCAAAAUAUUUUGGUGAAUCCCCUUAUUCACCAAGUAAAAAUAUGUGACUUUGGAAGUGCAAUAAUGCUUGUACGUUGAUAAAUUUUCAGGUGCUCAAAGCGACGAGUUCAAGGUGGACUAUAUUAUUCUUGUAGAGGCAGGAGCAUAGUGAACGAGAUUUGACUCGAAUUACUUCAUACGGGAUUUGUAGGUGUAAUUUUUUUUAAUUGUUCAUAGAGGGGAUGGGGGUUGAUUGUAUAAUAGAAAAUUUUUUAAUACGUGGGUUGAUGUUGUUAUACUUUUGAAAUUGUUCAUAUCUGGUUGACUAUAAUGUUGGAAUAAUUCAUAUGGGGUUUUUCAUAUUCUUUUAACUUAUAAAUACUUUAUGGGGUUAUAAUAUUGACAAUGUUAAAGAAGUGAAGUUUUUAUAAAGAGAUAUUGGUGGAAA